rnacentral:misc_RNA from 1 species
GGGCUAAGAAAAAAUACAGUCAACUGUC